rnacentral:rRNA from 1 species
GACGAACGCUGGCGGCGUGCUUAACACAUGCAAGUCGAGCGAGAAAGCUCCUUCGGGAGUGAGUACAGCGGCGAACGGGUGAGUAACACGUGGGCAACCUGCCCUAGGGAGCGGGACAACCCGAGGAAACUCGGGCUAAUACCGCAUGAUUCGUCAUGUCUCAAGGCAUGACGGGAAAUGGUAGCUUCGGCCUCCGCCCUAGGAUGGGCCCGCGGCGCAUUAGCUUGUUGGGUGGGUAACGGCCCACCAAGGCGACGAUGCGUAGCUGGUCUGAGAGGACGAUCAGCCACACUGGGACUGAGACACGGCCCAGACUCCUACGGGAGGCAGCAGUGGGGAAUCUUGCGCAAUGGGCGGAAGCCUGACGCAGCAACGCCGCGUGAGGGAAGAUGGCCU